rnacentral:lncRNA from 1 species
AGGAGCAGCUAACAAGAAUCCUAAUACAGGAGUGUUUAUGGUUGGGUUGAGACACAUUCAGUAGCUGAGUGAUUGACAGCAAGAGGAGCAAGACAUGAGGUUAAUAAUUAUCAAAUAUAUGGCAAUGCUGGACUUUAGCUGAUCAUCGUGCUUCUGGAAAACAACAAAAAUUGAGAUAUCUGUUCACCACUUUGUGUGUCCAAGGACCACCUACUUUUUACAUGUGACAAGAACUACCCACCUCCACUCUUCAGGAUAGAACAUGCUGAAGAAAAGAGUUGCAAUGAGAAAAUAUAUGGGAACAAAAUACCUAUGCAAUGCAGAAGUCUGCAUAACUGAACCACUCAGAGGAAAAAGUUUCCCUCCCAGGCUGGAGUACAAUGGCGCGACCUCGGCUCACUGCAACUUCCACCUCCCAGUUCAAGCAAUUCUCCCACCUCAGCUUCCUUAGUAGCUGGGAUUACAAGUGCCUGACACCAGGCCAAGCUAUUUUUGUAUUUUUAGUAGAGACGGGGUUUCACCAUUUUGACCAGGCUGGUCUCAAACUCCUGACCUCAGUCCAUCGGUCCACCUCGGCCUCCCAAAGUGCUGGGAUUGCAGGCAUGAGCCACCGCUCCUGGCCUCAAGUUUAAUUCUUAAAUUGCCAUUUCAGGACACCUCCUACAUCUGAGGAAAUAUGCAUUGAUCUUGCAGUACUUUUCUCCUCCAAAUAAAAGUCAGUAUGAUAACAACUACACUAUCAGAAGUCUAAGCCAAAGGACACUUCAGUUAUCCAAUCUUGCAACAAAUACAUUUAAGCACUUAAUAUGGGCUACUGUUGGUACUAGGGGCAUUGAGAACUUCAGAUUUGAUUAACACCCAAGAGCUGCUACCAUAAAAUAAACUAGGCAGCUACUAGGC